CCCUCCGUAGGUGAACCUGCGGAGGGAUCAUUA
rnacentral:rRNA from 1 species